CCUGGCAAGCUCAAGCUCAAGUUUGAUCUCUGGUACCAAUAAAUACAAACAAACAAACAAAAAACCCACAGCAUUUUAACAUAAAGCAUAGGGAUGCUUCUCAAAAUGUUUUUCUACAUUUCUUUCUAGAAUUUCAAAUUUUACUUCAACAACUUCUCUCAUCAAACAGAGCAUUAACAAGCACACACUGAAAGCUUCUUGAGAGACCCAAGAGUUAAAAAACAUGACUUCAGCCUUGACUUGCAUAGAAAUUGGGUGACAAUCAAAAUCUACAUAUAUUAUCUGAGACAAAUCAUUGAGAAAUGCUGAUGACAGGAAAAACUGACAAAUAUAUUUGGAUUAUCUAGUCAACGAGAAGAGAUUAUUUGUUAAACAAAUCCGGGGAAAUUCCAAAGAAUUCCCUUACACCUUUAGUUGAAACCACACAGCUGUCCUCUGAUGGAUAAAUGGAUAUAAAUAAAAUUACAACAUGUCCACACAAUGAAAUACCAUAUUACUUGGCAAUAAAAUGGAAUGGACUGACACAACAUAGCUCAAUUUUAAAACAAACAAAUUUACAAAGCAGUUUGCUGAGUAAAAAAGAGCCCAUCCCAAAAAGAGCACAUCCUGUAUGAUUCUAAUUAUAUGCAAUUAUAAUAAAGACAAAACAACUUACAGUACCAUAAAGCAGAUCUAGCAUUACCCAGGGAGGAAGAGGAAGGCAUGGGAAAAGGCCAGGAAAAGAGCAGCAAAGAAGCACCUAGAUAUCUUCGGAGUUGAUGGUAUGGUUUUUAUCCUGAUUAUGACUAUGAGUUCAGGGGUAUACAUUAAGUCUACAAUAAGUUUUUGCUAUCUGUGCAUGUGUUAUUGAAUAACAAUUAUAUUUCAUUAAAGGUUUUUAAUCAAAAAUGAACUGCACACAAAUAUUGAACUCAUCCAUACUGAAGUGCAGAGGACUGAAAUGGACUAUUAUCUACAACUUACUUUAAUGUAUAAAAUGAGGUGGACUGAGAGAUGAACACAGGAAAAGGCAAAUAUAUUAAAAAAUUUCAGCCAGAAUCCCAAGGAAGAUAAAAAAGAACAAUGUAUACACAAGAAAAACUGGAAUAUACCUCAUCAAACCGCAAAUUUGGAAAUGAACUGAAACUGCUCCCUGGUGUGAAAGCUGAAUCCAGCAGCCACCUGCAGGAUCAGCGACCAACACUGCCAGAUGCUACAAAGCCUUUGAUUUCCAGUAGCGAAUUCGGCCACAUUUAACUCAUGUGACAUGAACUAACUGCAACAGCAUUUUCAAUCGUUCUCUCUUAUUUUUUUUUUUAAUACAAACUCUAGCUUCCUGCUCACUACAUAUGAAACAGCUGCGUAGAUAGGUUCAUUCAG